rnacentral:rRNA from 1 species
CCUACGGGUGGCAGCAGUGAGGAAUAUUGGUCAAUGGACGAGAGUCUGAACCAGCCAUGUCGCGUGAAGGAUGACUGCCCUAUGAGUUGUAAACUUCUUUUAUAUGGGAAUAAAAUGUUCCACGUGUGGGAUUUUGUAUGUACCAUAUGAAUAAGGAUCGGCUAACUCCGUGCCAGCAGCCGCGGUAAUACGGAGGAUUCGAGCGUUAUCCGGAUUUAUUGGGUUUAAAGGGAGCGUAGGUGGAUGGUUAAGUCAGUGGUGAAAGUACGCGGCUCAACCGUAGAAUUGCAGUUGAAACUGGCAGUCUAGAGAAUAGUAGAGGUGGGCGGAAUGUGUGGUGUAGCGGUGAAAUGCUUAGAGAUCACGAAGAACUCCGAUUGCGAAGGCAGUUCACUGGACUGCAACUGACACUGAGGCUCGAAAGUGUGGGUAGCAAACAGGAUUAGAUACCCGAGUAGUC